rnacentral:tRNA from 1 species
GGGGUUGUGGCUCAGAGGUAGAGCAUUCACCUAGCAUGUGCCAAGCCCUGGGUUCAAUCCUCAGCGCCACA